UCAUGGAUGACUUUCACAGGUUCAAGACUUCAGUGGAGGAAAUAACUGUAGAUAUAGUGGAAAUAGCAAGAGAACUAGAAUUAGAAGUGUAGCCUGAAGAUGUGACAGAAUUGCUGCAUUCUUAUGAUAAAAUUUGAAUGGAUGAGAAGUUGCUUCUUAUGGAUGAGUAAAGAAAGUGGUUUCUUAGGAUGAAAUCUACUCCUGGGGAAGAUGCUGUGAAAUUGUUGAAAUAACAGCAAAGAAUUUAGAAUGUCACAUAAACUUGACUGAUAAAGCAGUGGCAGAGUUUGAGAGGAUUGACUCCAACUUUGAGAGUUCUGUGGGUAAAAUGCUAUUAAACAGCAUCACAUACCACAGAGAAAUAGUUCAUGAAAGGAAGAAUCAACUGAUGCAGCAAACUUCAGUGUUGUCAUGUUUUAAGAAAUUGCCACAGCCACCUGAGCCUUCAGCAGUUAUCACCCUAAUCAGCCAUGAGUCAGCAGACAUUAAGCCAUUCACUCAGUAAAUAUGUUCCAGUUUGGAGCUGAUCUCAACAAUGAUGUGUUAUGCCUUAGCAUCAGCCUGAAGCAUACGCACUGCUGCAGUGAGCCAGUCUUCUGAGCUGUUUCACCCAGGAAUGCAUUCAGACCAACUGCAGAAGAAUGAAAGAAGUGUCAAAUAGUUAAAGAAUCUAGCCCACACAGAAAGGGAGCUUCUGGUCAGGAGUUCUUCAGAGAGGAUAUGGUGGGUAUUUACUUGGGCCUCAAGGGUCCAGCUUCAGGUUCUUUGCCAUCAGUGGUGGAGACCAGUGAUACACAGCAAGGAACACGUCUUGGAACUACUGAUCCUGACCAUCCUGCCCAAGAACUCCAGGCCUGGGUAUAGGAGCAUCCCAGAGUAUAGGAAAGAGGCUGUCUGUACUGAAGAACUUGGAGAGGAAGCUGAAUGAUCUGAGAGGAAAGGUAAAAUGAAGAAAUGUCUUAUCAGAUAGCAGAUAUUAUCUCCAGAGAGAGAUAAGAGAGUUGAGAUAACUUCUCUAGCGUAGUUAGAGAAAAUGGCUAACAUGUUAUUGGCCAGAGUUAUUUAUUUUUGUUCUAGUUUGGUGAGUUUUUUUUAACUUGUAGGCCCUGUGUAUUUUCCCCUCUUUGUCUGUGUAUCCCUGCCCUUGCAGAUGACAGAAAACUGCUUUCUGCCCUCCCAUCGUGUGUUCCACAGUAAUAAUGGGAUUUUAAGCUCUAACUUUCAGCAAAUGUCACCCUCAUUAAACUCCAUCUAAUUGUGCCCAGUUCCCCACCCUCCUACAGGGGACAAGAAGUGUCCCAACGCAAAUAGUGUAUCUGGCAGCCUCAUAGGACUCAACUGGAGUCCGGCUCCAGCCAGUAAAGGGUCAACUCAGCUCUGAAUGUUGGGAGUUUCACACUGUUAAGGAGAACGCUGAGGAGGAGAUAGCAAAGAAGAAGUUAGGAAAUGUUGGUGUCUUUUUGCAUUUUUCCAAAUGAACCUUGUCACUAAAAUCUCUGCAUACCUUUCAUUUAAUCUCUAUUGCCUAUUCCACUUUUAACCUGUUCCUCUAAGCAUACCACUUUAGCCUGGAUUAUGAUUCUUUUCUUUCUUCACUUCUUUGCCUUAAAAUUGUUUUUUUUAAAAAAUCCUGCUACUCAUGUUACCUUGCAUGGUUCAGUUUCUCCCUUCUAAUACUGCCAACUUCCUUAACCCAGACCUCUUAUCGCAAAGACAGGAGAAUGUUUUUCUAUAUUGAAGCCAAUAGAAAACUACUAAAAGGCUACAUGCAAUUAGUAAAUUUUUAAAUGUACAUUUUUUAAAUGAGUGUAGGAAACAUAAAACUUUAGUAGGUGCAUGCUUACUGGGAAAGCACGCAUGCAUGCUAAAAUGUCAUUGUACAGUACAUAUUGUUUACCACUUGUUUUUUAGUUUAAUAUUACAUUAUGGAUAUCUUUUCAAGUUACAUAUAAUACCUAUAUGUAGCUGACAUACAUUUCACUGCAAGGGUAUUGAAUUAUUUUGUAACUGGCCUUAGAGGGUUUUUACAUUGCUGCUUUUUUCUUUUUUUAAAUACUACCAACUAAAAGCCAUAAACUCUUUUCUUUUUCUUUUUUUCUUCACUCUGUACUAUGAAAAAAGUUUAAGCAUAUAUAAAAGUACAAUUGUACUACUUCUAAUAAAUCCCCACAAACCUGUCACCCAGCUUCAACAUUAUCAGAUUAUGGCCAAACUUGUUUCACUUACAACUCUACUCAUAUCCCAUGCUUUUAUAUAUAUAUAAUUUUAAAGCAUAUCUGAGCUAGCAUAGUCUUUCAAAUGUAAAUAUUUCAAUAUUUGCUGUAAAAGAUAUGAAUUUUAAAAAUGUAAACAUAAUACUAUUUUCAUACCUAAACAAUUAACAGUAAUUCCUUAAUAUCAAUUUUCCAGUUUUCUCAAAGAUGUCAUAAACUUUUUUUUGUUCAUUUUGUUUUUUAACUUAUUUGAAUCAAGAUCCAAGGAAGAAAACACAUUGUGAUGGGUUGAUAUGUCUCCUAAGUUUCUUUUAAUAUAUGGGUACCCUCUCCUGUUUUCUCUUCCAACUCACUUGUUAAAGAAAAUGAAGUUGUUUGUCCUGUAGAGUUGCACACAGCAUGGGUUUUGCUGUCUGCAUCAUGUGCUAUAGUCUAAGAUGUUCUGUUGUCCUCUGUAUUUUCUGUAAAUUGUAGUAAUGUACAGGCUUGAUCAAAAUCAAGUUUUAAGUUUUUUUGACCAGAUAAAUUUAAUGAUUUUGGCAAGAUGGUGUGUUCUAUUUGAAGCCUAUUAUUUUCUGUUUGUCUCUUUUUCUGUGGUGUUAGCAGCUAUUGAUCCUCAAUACCUAUAGCCAGUAAUCCAUUACGGGUCCCAAAAUGGUGACAUUCUAAUUGCAUCCUUCUUUCUUCAUUUAAUAAAGCUGGAAUAGUUAUAUAAAGAGA
rnacentral:lncRNA from 1 species